rnacentral:rRNA from 1 species
AUUGAACGCUGGCGGCAGGCUUAACACAUGCAAGUCGAGCGGAGAUAAGGUGCUUGCACCUUAUCUUAGCGGCGGACGGGUGAGUAAUGCUUAGGAAUCUGCCUAUUAGUGGUGGACAACAUUCCGAAAGGAAUGCUAAUACCGCAUGCGUCCUACGGGAGAAAGCAGGGGAUCUUCGGACCUUGCGCUAAUAGAUGAGCCUAAGUCGGAUUAGCUAGUUGGUGGGGUAAAGGCCUACCAAGGCGACGAUCUGUAGCGGGUCUGAGAGGAUGAUCCGCCACACUGGGACUGAGACACGGCCCAGACUCCUACGGGAGGCAGCAGUGGGGAAUAUUGGACAAUGGGGGGAACCCUGAUCCAGCCAUGCCGCGUGUGUGAAGAAGGCCUUAUGGUUGUAAAGCACUUUAAGCGAGGAGGAGGCUACUGAGACUAAUACUCUUGGAUAGUGGACGUUACUCGCAGAAUAAGCACCGGCUAACUCUGUGCCAGCCGCCGCCGUAAAAC